UUAGGAAUGUAACAGCCCGAAACUUAAAAGGAAAUAGAUUAUAAAUUGAAUGCGAAAGUGAAAUAAUAACGUUAGGGUUUACAUUCCUUAUACAAUAAUUCAGAAUACCCAAUAGGGUUAUGGCAAUGACCCUUCUAAAAAAAUAACAAAAAAUUAAAAAAAUAAAUGAGAAGUAAAUAACUGAACAUCCUAUUUGCAACCCUCUUGUGUAUCGGGAUCUGGAUCUUGGUCUUCUUGAUCUGAAAUGGUUAAUGAAAGAGUAAGCUAUACUAACCCAGUAAAAAUGUCAAACUACUCACCGAUACAGAAAUGAAUGUUGGUAAAAAUCAUGAAAACAACUAAUUGAGCUUUUAAUUUAAAUAAAUUCAUUGAUCAU
rnacentral:lncRNA from 1 species